CCUACGGGAGGCAGCAGUGAGGAAUAUUGGUCAAUGGCCGGAAGGCUGAACCAGCCAUGCCGCGUGAGGGAAGAAGGCGCAGAGCGUCGCAGACCUCUUUUGCCGGGGGACAAAAGGCCGGACUCGUCCGGUCCUGAGUGUACCCGGAGAAAAAGCAUCGGCUAACUCCGUGCCCGCAGCCGCGGUAAUCCGGGGGAUGCGAGCGUUAUCCGGAUUCAUUGGGUUUAGCGGGUGCGCGGGCGGGCCUUUAAGCCGGCGGUGAAAUCGCGGGGCUCACCCCCGCCGAGCCGUCGGAACUGGGGGCCUUGAGUGCGGUGGAGGCAGGCGGAAUGCGCGGUGUAGCGGUGAAAUGCAUAGAGAUUGCGCAGAACACCGAUUGCGAAGGCAGCAUACCGGCGGCGAUCUGACGCUGAGGCACGAAAGCGUGGGUAUCGAACAGGAUUAGAUACCCGAGUAGUC
rnacentral:rRNA from 1 species